UGACGUUAUACGGGGAUUAGGGUUCGAUUCCGGAGAGGGAGCCUGAGAAACGGCUACCACAUCCAAGGAAGGCAGCAGGCGCGCAAAUUACCCAAUCCCGACACGGGGAGGUAGUGACAAUAAAUAACAAUACGGGGCUCAUUUGGGUCUCGUAAUUGGAAUGAGUACAAUUUAAAUCUCUUAACGAGGAACAAUUGGAGGGCAAGUCUGGUGCCAGCAGCCGCGGUAAUUCCAGCUCCAAUAGCGUAUAUUAAAGUUGUUGCAGUUAAAAAGCUCGUAGUUGAACUUCGGGGUCUACCCAUUGGUCAGGCUUAAUUGUCUGCACUGGUGAGAUGGAUCUCUACCUUCUGAGGAACUUUCAUGCCAUUUAUUUGGUGUGGUUGGAAAUCAGGACUGUUACUUUGAAAAAAUUAGAGUGUUUAAAGCAGACUAUCGUCUGAAUACAUUAGCAUGGAAUAAUGAAAUAGGACGGACUGAUUCUAUUUCGUUGGUUUCUAGGAUCACCGUAAUGAUUAAUAGGGAUAGUUGGGGGCAUUAGUAUUCAAUUGUCAGAGGUGAAAUUCUUGGAUUUAUUGAAGACUAACUACUGCGAAAGCAUUUGCCAAGGAUGUUUUCAUUAAUCAAGAACGAAAGUUAGGGGAUCGAAGACGAUCAGAUACCGUCGUAGUCUUAACCAUAAACUAUGCCGACUAGGGAUCGGACGAAGUUAAUUUUAUAAUGACGCGUUCGGCACCUUACGGGAAACCAAAUGUUUUUGUGGUUUCCA
rnacentral:rRNA from 1 species